rnacentral:lncRNA from 1 species
GCAUCUCCCUCCCCCCUCCCUUCUCCUCUCCCUCUCCCCCACCUCCCCCACCCCUUCCCUCACAGAAGGAGAAGACUUGGGUGAGGGAGCCCUCGCCUCUCUGUUGGAACAAGGCUGGGACAUUGGCCAGGAACGCUGCUGCCGCCUAGACGUGGAGGCCCAGAGCAGAGACGAGAAUCUCUAUCCAUCCUUCCUUCCUUCUGUCCUUCCAUCUUUCCCUCCCUUCCAGACUGUCCUGCUCACUCUGAAACCUGGGAUCCCUGUGCUUGGGGGGCCAAAGACAGAGGAGGACAGAGCCGAGGUCUGGCCAAGGAUUCGGUGCAUCUGGGGAGGAGGCAGUGGCUGCCAAUGACCGUUCAGGGGCAUUAGCAUUCUGAGGAUCUCCUUGACCAGAUGUGAGCAGAUUAUGGGACCAGCUGAGGCACAAUGGAAGCUGUAUGUUGAAUGGUGCCUGGGAUUCAUGGACAGCUCUGGGGAGGAGAUAACUAACUGUUGAAGUAGUUACUGGGACAAGAAGAACUGGCCUUAGGUGGGCUGGGGAAUCGAUCCAGAUGCUAAGGUGCUCACUUGCCCUGAGGCAGGGGACUGGACCAGAUGACUUCCCUUGAGGUACUUUCUCCUUCCCAGAAUCCCUGUCUCUGAAGAAUGUCUGUCAGGUGCCUGCAUGUCCCUUAGCUCAGACCCUGCUGCCCU